CUAGUUGAUCUUGGCUCUCCUGAUAACAGAAUCCAAUUUCCUUCCUUCCCUCCACAGGUUUGGAACAAACUCUCCCUUCACUUGUUGCCCUGUAGCACUAAAGAAACCCUGGUUCUUGGGCUCCACUGAGCCCCAGGAUUGUGACUCCCCAGCCCCUGCCCUCAAAGCUUCAGACCCCUCAGGUAGCAGCAGGACCUUGUGAUCUUGGCCCCUUGGAACUGAGAUGGUUUUUGCAUCUUUCCAGGAGAGCCUCACCUUCCAGGUUGUAUCACCCCCGAGUUAGCAUAUCCCAGGCUCGCAGACUCAACACAGCAAGGGUGGGAGACAGCUGGGCACAAAGGGGGAAUUCCGUUCAGCAUGGGCUCUAAACCCACAGAACUGACAAAAGCCCCUGCU
rnacentral:sRNA from 1 species